rnacentral:lncRNA from 10 species
CGAGCUCCUGUAGUGCCACCUACUUGGGGGUCUGAAGUGGGAGGAUCACUUGCACCUGAGAGGUGGAGACCGCAGUGAGCUAAGAUUGCACCACUUCACUGCACUCCAGUCUGGGCGACAGAGUGAGACCCUAUCUCAAAAAAAAAAAAAAAUGCUUAGAGGGGGUAUGAAUUCUCUGGAAUUUGCUCAUUAGAUUAUAAGUGAAGAUGACCAGGGUAAAUGCCAUUUGACCCAAGGUGCACUAAAAUAUGAUCCAUCUAAUGCAGAUUCUGGCAAACUUAAUCUAACCAUUAGCAGCUCAUGGAGUUGACUGAAUUCAGCCAGCUCUCCUUAGAAGUUAUUUUCUCAGAUCUUAUUGCCAUCUUUUCAUUCUUUCUGAUCUGCAUUAGUCUUACUUUGUGGAACAUGGCAGUAGGCCUGGGACUCUUAGAGAGUCCCCAUCCUUGUAAUGAGCAAAAAGAAUAUUGUUGCGCAUUCCUAUCGGGCUCUUAAGAUUUCUUCCCAACCAUACUGCUUUCUAGGUACCACUGUAGUGCCCUUGUAACCCUUAGAUCUUUUCUUGCUGUGUUCAACACAGAGCCUGGCAUACUAUAACUGUAGCUGGUUUCUCCCAUUUCCUUCUGGAUUCCACAUGGCCCCCUAUUCUAUUUCAUCCUUUUGGGAAUGUGUAAUCUUUGACACUUAUAUUCCUAAACCCACUUUGGUAUAAUCUGGAAACUUUAUGGCAUGCUCUAGUCUGUGACAAUCAGGAUAACCCUGAUUAUACCAGCUUCUAAUCAACUACAUAAAGCGGGUGAACACCAGGGUCACCAACACCCAUUUCCCAACUGCGGUGCACAGCAGCUUUUUAGCUUUGCCAACAUUUGGGCCGGCACAUGUGUUUGUGCGUGAUUAUUUGUCUCAUGUACUAUUGAAUAAACGUCUUUGUAAGUAAC